GUGCAGCAGUCGCGAAACUUCACACUGUGCGAAGCACGAUGAGGGAAUCCCAAGUGCUUGCACGUAAGUGUAAGCUGUUUCUCUGUCUAAAACGCAGAGAGAGUAAGGGCUGGGUAAGACGGGUGCCAGCCGCCGCGGUAAUACCUGCAGCUCAAGUGGUGACCGUUAUUAUUGGGCCUAAAACGUCCGUAGCCGGUUUAAUAAAUGCCUGGGUAAAUUGUGUAGCUUAACUAUACGAAUUCCGGGUAGACUGUUAAACUUGAGACCGGGAGAAGUUAGAGGUACUCCUGGGGUAGAGGUGAAAUUCUGUAAUCCUAGGGGGACCACCAGUGGCGAAGGCGUCUAACUAGAACGGGUCUGACGGUGAGGGACGAAGCCCUGGGGCGCAAACGGGGAUUAGAUACCCCGUAGU
rnacentral:rRNA from 1 species